rnacentral:rRNA from 1 species
AACAAACGCUGGCGGCGUGCCUAAUACAUGCAAGUCGAACGGGGAAAGCUUUCGGGUGAGUACUAGUGGCGCACGGGUGAGUAACGCGUGGAUAAUCUGCCUUAGAGUGGGGGAUAACUAGUCGAAAGAUUAGCUAAUACCGCAUAAGACCACAAGAACUGCGGUUCAAGAGGUCAAAGGUUUUUCGCUCUAAGAUGAGUCCGCGUAAGAUUAGCUAGUUGGUGAGGUAACGGCUCACCAAGGCAAAGAUCUUUAACUUGUCUGAGAGGAUGAUCAGUCACACUGGAACGGAGACACGGUCCAGACUCCUACGGGAGGUAGCAGUAGGGAAUAUUGCACAAAGGAGGAAACUCUGAUGCAGCGACGCCGCGUGAGUGAUGAAGGCCUUCGGGUCGUAAAGCUCUGUCAGUGGGAAAGAAGGGUGCCGGCGCGAUAACCGCUGGCAUCUGACGGUACCUGCAGAGGAAGCCCCGGCUAACUC